AGAGUUUGAUCCUGGCUCAGGAUGAACGCUAGCGACAGGCUUAACACAUGCAAGUCGAGGGGCAGCGGGGAGUAGCAAUACUUCGCCGGCGACCGGCGCACGGGUGAGUAACACGUGUGCAACCAACCCCGUACCGGGAGAUAACCCGCGGAAACGUGGACUAACAUCCCAUAAUACUGGAGGAUCGCAUGAUCUUUCAUUUAAAAUUCCGGUGGUACGGGACGGGCACGCGCGACAUUAGGUAGUUGGCGGGGUAACGGCCCACCAAGCCGACGAUGUCUAGGGGUUCUGAGAGGAAGGUCCCCCACACUGGAACUGAGACACGGUCCAGACUCCUACGGGAGGCAGCAGUGAGGAAUAUUGGUCAAUGGGCGAGAGCCUGAACCAGCCAAGUCGCGUGAGGGAAGAAUGGUCCAUGGCCUGUAAACCUCUUUUGUCAAGGAAGAAUAAAAGGUACGUGUGCCUUCUUGCCAGUACUUGACGAAUAAGCAUCGGCUAACUCCGUGCCAGCAGCCGCGGUAAUACGGGGGAUGCGAGCGUUAUCCGGAUUUAUUGGGUUUAAAGGGCGCGUAGGCGGGACGCCAAGUCAGCGGUAAAAGACUGCAGCUAAACUGUAGCACGCCGUUGAAACUGGCGCCCUCGAGACGAGACGAGGGAGGCGGAACAAGUGAAGUAGCGGUGAAAUGCUUAGAUAUCACUUGGAACCCCGAUAGCGAAGGCAGCUUCCCAGGCUCGAUCUGACGCUGAUGCGCGAGAGCGUGGGUAGCGAACAGGAUUAGAUACCCUGGUAGUCCACGCCGUAAACGAUGCUCACUGGAUCUUGGCGAUACACUGCCAGGGUUCAAGCGAAAGUAUUAAGUGAGCCACCUGGGGAGUACGUCGGCAACGAUGAAACUCAAAGGAAUUGACGGGGGCCCGCACAAGCGGAGGAACAUGUG
rnacentral:rRNA from 1 species